CUGUGCUGAGCGGAAGUAUUUAGACAGAAGGCUGUGCGGUCCCAGGCUUUGUAGUGACUCACUAGCAAGGCUGUAGAUCUGAACUAUGAGAAACACUGAGACUUCCCAAUUCAGCUUUGCACGCCGCAAGCUCAGACUGGCUGUCCUCCUGGUGAUGGCUCCACUGCCUGAGGGAAUGAGCCAGGGACCGUUCUAACUGAAUCUGACUCACACUGUUGCUCUGAGACUUCAGCUCUGAGUUCAUGGAAUAUAAGCAACAUGUCCACACAGAGUCACAUUCAGUGACAGACCAAGAAACCCCAUUUCAUGUCCCAAACUUUGCAAAUACAAGAGGUAGACCUU